CUGCCUGUGGCCUAGUGGGUAAGAUUAUCGUCUUGGGAACAAGGGGUCGUAGGUUCAAGCCCAGCUAGGGACA
rnacentral:tRNA from 1 species